rnacentral:rRNA from 1 species
GACGAACGCUGGCGGCGUGCUUAACACAUGCAAGUCGAACGGAAAGGCCCUGCCUUUGUGUGGUGCUCGAGUGGCGAACGGGUGAGUAACACGUGAGUAACCUGCCCUUGACUUUGGGAUAACUUCAGGAAACUGGGGCUAAUACCGGAUAGGAGCUCCUGCUGCAUGGUGGGGGUUGGAAAGGUUCGGCGGUUGGGGAUGGACUCGCGGCUUAUCAGCUUGUUGGUGGGGUAGUGGCUUACCAAGGCUUUGACGGGUAGCCGGCCUGAGAGGGUGACCGGCCACACUGGGACUGAGAUACGGCCCAGACUCCUACGGGAGGCAGCAGUGGGGAAUAUUGCACAAUGGGCGGAAGCCUGAUGCAGCAACGCCGCGUGCGGGAUGACGGCCUUCGGGUUGUAAACCUCUUUCGCCUGUGACGAAGCGUGAGUGACGGUAAUGGGUGAAGAAGCACCGGCUAACUACGUG